GUUGCUGUCUACUACAGUCACUGAAAUAAACUGUCCACACACUGAGAGCUGCAAUGAAGGAAGCAUCUGUCAGAGUGCUCCUCUGUCUGGUUUUGGCGACUCGCUGCACAACAAACAAAGCAGCUGCUCUGACUGUGAGUCCCAGCAGAUCUCAGUUCUUUGCCAG